AAGAGAGAGACAUGCGCGCAUAUCAAUAAGCGGAGGAAAAGAAACUAACAAGGAUUCCCUUAGUAACGGCGAGUGAAGCGGGAAGAGCUCAAAUUUGAAAUCUUCAAGGUUUUACCUUGACGAAUUGUAGUUUAAAGAAGUGUUUUCUGCUGAAGUUUUGGUAAAAGUUCUUUGGAAUAGGACAUCAUAGAGGGUGAGAAUCCCGUAUUUGACCAUUAUUUUCAGCUUUGUGAUACACUUUCAAAGAGUCGGAUUGUUUGGGAAUGCAGUCCAAAAUGGGUGGUAAAUUUCAUCUAAAGCUAAAUAUUGGCGAGAGACCGAUAGCGAACAAGUACCGUGAGGGAAAGAUGAAAAGAACUUUGAAAAGAGAGUUAAACAGUACGUGAAAUUGUCAAAAGGGGAAGCGUUUGACACCAGUGUUGUUUUCUCGAAAAUCAAUUAAAAAUGGCUCGAUUUUGUAUUGUUGAGACCUUAAAAGCUCACUGUACAUUUUUCGUGUCUUUUUUAAUGCACUUUUCGUUUAACAAGUCAACAUCAGUUUCUUUUGUUGUAAAAGGGUCAUUGGAAGGUGGCUUUCUUUUCGGAGAAAGUGUUUAUAGCCUUUGGCCUCUGCAAUCGAAGAGACUGAGGUCUGCAGCGUAGACUCUUCGGGGUUAGAUACAUUUGUGCUAAGUUAUAGCUUUUUAUAGACAACUUGUUGACUAUAAUUAGUCUUGUAGCUUACUCGCUUAUGCUAUUUUACCUACGCUUAGGAUGUUGAGUCGUAGAGCACGCAG
rnacentral:rRNA from 1 species